rnacentral:rRNA from 1 species
AUACAGAGGGUGCAAGCGUUAUUCGGAAUUACUGGGCGUAAAGCGCGCGUAGGCGGAUGAUUAAGUCAGUUGUGAAAGCCCUGGGCUCAACCUAGGAACUGCAUCUGAUACUGGUCGUCUAGAGUUUAAGAGAGGGAAGUGGAAUUCCAGGUGUAGCAGUGAAAUGCGUAGGUAUCUGGAGGAACAUCAGUGGCGAAGGCGACUUCCUGGCUUAAAACUGACGCUGAGGUGCGAAAGCGUGGGUAGCGAACGGGAUUAGAUACCCCUGUAGUCC